CAAGAUGUGAANUCCCCGAGCUUAACUUGGGAACUGCGUUUUGAACUGGUAAGCUAGAGUAUGUCAGAGGGGGGUAGUAUUCCACGUGUAGCAGUGAAAUGCGUAGAGAUGUGGAGGAAUACCGAUGGCGAAGGCAGCCCCCUGGGAUAAUACUGACGUUCAUGCUCGAAAGCGUGGUAGCAAACAGGAUUAGAUACCCUGGUAGUCCACGCCCUAAACGAUGUCAAUUAGCUGUUGGGCAACAUGAUUGCUUAGUAGCGUAGCUAACGCGUGAAAUUGACCGCCUGGGGAGUACGGUCGCAAGAUUAAAACUCAAAGGAAUUGACGGGGACCCGCACAAGCGGUGGAUGAUGUGGAUUAAUUCGAUGCAACGCGAAGAACCUUACCUGGUCUUGACAUGUACGGAAUCUUCCAGAGACGGAAGAGUGCCUUCGGGAGCCGUAACACAGGUGCUGCAUGGCUGUCGUCAGCUCGUGUCGUGAGAUGUUGGGUUAAGUCCCGCAACGAGCGCAACCCUUGUCAUUAGUUGCCACCAUUCAGCUGGGCACUCUAAUGAGACUGCCGGUGACAAACCGGAGGAAGGUGGGGAUGACGUCAAGUCCUCAUGGCCCUUAUGACCAGGGCUUCACACGUCAUACAAUGGUCGGUACAGAGGGUAGCCAAGCCGCGAGGUGGAGCCAAUCUCAGAAAACCGAUCGUAGUCCGGAUUGCACUCUGCAACUCGAGUGCAUGAAGUCGGAAUCGCUAGUAAUCGCAGGUCAGCAUACUGCGGUGAAUACGUUCCCGGGUCUUGUACACACCGCCCGUCACACCAUGGGAGUGGGGGAUACCAGAAGUAGGUAGGCUAACCGCAAGGAGGCCG
rnacentral:rRNA from 1 species